rnacentral:rRNA from 1 species
UACGUAGGGGGCUAGCGUUGUCCGGAUUUAUUGGGCGUAAAGAGCGUGUAGGCGGCCAGGUAGGUCUGCUGUGAAAACUCGAGGCUCAACCUCGAGACGUCGGCGGAAACCAUCUGGCUAGAGUCCGGAAGAGGAGAGUGGAAUUCCCGGUGUAGCGGUGAAAUGCGCAGAUAUCGGGAGGAACACCAAUGGCGAAGGCAGCUCUCUGGGACGGUACUGACGCUGAGACGCGAAAGCGUGGGGAGCGAACAGG